GUCAACUGUCCGGUAUCAAAUUCAAAAAUCUUAAAUUAAUCAAUUGAUUAUAACAAGAAAAUCUUUAUAGAAACUGAUUAACAACUUUAAGGAUAUGGAUCAUGUUUACAUGUCUAAGUUCAAAGGCAGCAAGAACUCGGAUAAUCUCGCGAUCACAAAACCAAAAUUAGUGUGUUAGGCUGCAUGAGCGAAUUCUGACUCUAUACCAACUAAAUGGAAUGACAAAACAUGAUGAACAUGAAAGAAUAUAGAACACGUUACAAUAUCAACUUUAAAGACUUCACCAGAGCAAAGAUCGUGCUUUGGCACAUAGGUGCCAAGAUCUUAAUUGGCAUGUUCGAAUUCAAUCUCCUGUUGCGAAGUGAUUGGCUCUUCAGUAUUAUCCUGAAUUCGUUGUUUAUUCCAAUAGCAACUUCAGGCUAUCUGUCACGCUUGUUAAUACAUCCCUUGCCCAUGUACCAAAGUGCCAGGCCCGGUUCAUGAUGAAGAAUGCAAAUCUUCGACAGAAUCUGCAGCCAGUUGACCUCUUCAUUUUGCAACAUAUUAAGGCCCUGUCUGACCCACAUUCUUCCCCCAAAAAAAAAAAAAAAAAUGCAUUCUUAAAUAGUGAUUUAACAUCAUUUCAACCACACAUUCUUCAAUAAAAUAAUAUUACAUGCAAAUUCAAAAAUUUUCCUUAUUUUUUAACCACACUUGUCUCAUCAAUACACUAUUCAAAAAUGUAUUCUUAUGGAAAUAAUGUGCCUCAAACAAGGGCUAACUGAAAAAUACUGUGAUUAAGAAUCACAUUUUGCAUCUAUUACAUCAAGAAUAUCAAGAUGAGAAUGCUUAGAUAGGACUUCUACCCACUGCCUCACCAAUAGUGAUUAUAUGCAGUACCGUUACAAGAAAGCCAAAGAAAAAAUAAACAGAUUCUGAAGAAAGCAAAGCCUGAAGAGAAGAAACCCACAUAUCAUGUCUUGUGGCAUCAUUCAUAACAAGAAUAAACAGAAAAAAAUAGAAAAGGGAAGAAACCUAUUAUUAGUCUAAAGAGAUCCUAGGAAUUUAUGACAAAUACAAAUAAUGUCUUAGUAAAAAAUACAGGCCAUAAAUUGCACAAAUAUAUAUCCUGUACUCUCUAAUUCAAUUGAUGAUAUACAGUAUCCAUAAGAUCCCCGAUCCUCAAAUUCAACCCUCAAUCACCCAAGCGUGUGAACAUGCAUUUUGUGCAUCUGCAAGUCUGAAAGUGAGACGAGGACAACAAACUAGGAACAAAAACCAAUUGUAGCUUGUAAAGAUUUUUAGUUCACAGAUAAUAGCCUCGUAAAAAACAAUUACCCAGCAAGCAUUCUAACUCCUACCGAGAUUUGGAAAUUAUAAAACCUAUAAAGCAUUACAUUUCCAAUAUUCAACACUCUAUGGUUUUCAUCCCUAAUGCACGCCUAAGUUGGUUUAGAUCCCCAUCUCUUUCUCCUUUGUUACAAUAUCAUGUAAACUUUUACUGCAUCUCUUGUUCAAGACAAUGAUAGAAGUUCUCGUACAGAUAGCUACUUCUCUUCCACCUUUGUUGUGAUAUCACGUAGCAUCUUUGAUUCCAAGACAACUGUAGCUUCUCAUCCACUCCCUAAACUCCAGAAUCACUCACUUCUCUUCCCAUAUAGUAGGUUAUGCUUCUCUAAAGUCUCUGCAAUUUUUAUAUAUUUGGGAAUGUUUCUAUAGCAUUUUCUUUUAGAUUUUUGCAAAAGCCAAAAGGAAUCAAUCUUAAAAUGAGAGAAUUCCAGUAAGUAACUAUUAGAUACAUUUUGGAAAGUUUCUAUUAUGCAUCCAACACGAAUCUUCUACUAAAAAAAAAAAAAAAAACUGGCAAUAAUUAUAAAUUAAAUAUUUACAAAUAUUUAGGGCAAUAUUUUGGAAAACACAAGCACUUAGGGGAUGAUAUCUAGCAGAAGAUAUCUUAAAUACAUGACCAGGAAAAUGUCGAAAUGUGAAGGUUUUGAUCAAGAAAUGCAUAUAUACAAGCAGAGAUACGCAAGGCAUAACAAACAAAGCACUAUAUUUACUCUUCUCCAGAAAUUAUGUAUAAACUUCCAAAAGAUCAGAAAAAUCAAUGUUUCUGUAUCGACAUUAUAUGCGCAAUAUAAUAUCAAUUUCUACUCAAAUAUGGGCUUAUUUUAUGAAACAUUUAUGCAAAUUUUGAAACGGUUAGGAAUAUAUAAAGCAAGGUAUUAUACUUCAAAGAUCUUAAAUGAAGAAUAAUGAGGAUCAGAGAACAUGACAAAAAUGUUUAAGCAACACUCCACCACAAACAGAACCAGUUUGAGUCUUACAAACCAGAUAAGCAUUUAAAAUACUCCUAAAAAAUUUAUACAUUGUUUGAGUGGCUUAAGAUAAAAAAUGGCAAGUAAUAGAAUUGAAUGAAAACUGUUGAAGUGAUGCUUUUAGAAAUACAGAAUCAUGGAUGAACCUAGAGUAGCAGUUGACUAGAAAUAGUCAACAAUAUUAUAAUAAAACAUAGUCAUUGACAGUCUAUUAGCAACUUGAACACCUAUAGUUCAGAAGCCUUAAAGAUGCACGGGUUUAUAGUCAUCUAUGGGUUAAGUAUAAAAAACCACUGCAGAUAAAAACAUGAUAAAUUUCCACUCUUACCACCUUAGGUAGAAAGUUAAGCAACAAGUGAAGAAAAACUACCACAAAGUUUUUGCAAAAGGAAUUAACAAGAAAAGAGAUGUACAUGUUUUAAGGGCAAUAACCGUAAAAAAUGAACAAAAGAAUGUACCUUUAUGGCAAAAGAUGACCACUGGUACAAACUAUAUUUGCGCACAUACCACUGAGACAUCAUUUAUCUUGCAAACUUCCAUGACAUCCUGAGACUCGUUUGUCUAGAACAACUAUCAUGCCCCAAUAUGGGAUGAUUCGUAUACAUCAGAUGGUAGUACAAAGUAAGCCCUGAAUCCUCAAAGAGGAAAUUUCUUACACGAAGGAGAUAAACUACAAAUAACAAGAAGCUCCUAAUUGUAUAUUUAAACCCAAAAAUUGAAUCUUUUUCAAGCAAAUAGAUAAAUGUAUAGACUCACAACCCAUUACUUGCUUUUGACAUUAACAAAUUGAUGAGGUAAGAAACUUUCAGAUGACCAUGGUGAGAUCCUUGUUUUGUUCUUCUAGCACUUGCUUUACUCAAAGCGGCAUUCAUUUGAUCAACAUGCUUAAUUACUAUUACCCCAAAACUGUCAAUUUGAUUCCCAAGACCAAUGGCUUAAAUAAACCUGUAUACAUCCUCCAGCACAUAUGGACAUCAUAUGCUUGUCGUUUAUGACAUCACUCCACACUAAUAAGAAAAGAGAUGUACAUAUUUUAAUGGCAAUAACUGUAAAAAAUUACCAAAAUAAUGAAGCUUUAUAGCGAAUGACGACUAUAGUACAAACUAUAAUCUGUACCAACACCACUGAGACAUCAUUUCAUAUUGCAAACGUCUACGACAUCCCUCAACUCAUUACCCUAAACCAACUAUUAUGUCCCAACAUGGUAUGAUUCCUAUAGCCCAUUUAAUAAUAUAAAGCCCUAAAUCCUCAAAGAUGAAAUUUCUUACACUAAUUAGUUUAAUUACUGUUGUGUAUGUCGUUCAUAUAGAAUGGAACACAGACUAUCAAUGCAAAAAUCUCCAUGUGUUGAAUUCUUGAAUUAGAAACCUUGAACUAAACUUCAGAGGAGAAGAAAAAAUAUAAUGGAAUCGGAAUAAAUUCCAUAAAAGACACUCCAUGAAAGGAAGAAGAUAAACCUCGAUGAAAAGAGGGAUUGGAAUACAAUCCAAUCAUUUAUUAAUGCAUGCAUAGUGCUGUAUUUAUAGAGUAAAAUCUAACAAUCUAUCUAACUAUAUAACAGACGGCUGAACUGAUCUGGAAGUCUCUAGAAUGUGGUGAGCUGGAAAGAAUAUUCUGUUCUAACAGAAUCCUAGAAAAGACCAAUUGAAACUCCCUCACGACCCAGUGAAUUUCUUUCUUCCUCAUCCCUUAGGCAAGGGCAGAAAGCACUAAGCUAUUAUGAUAUUAAGAGAUUCCAUAUAGAUGAAAUCGUGGAAGCGGACCUUUGAUUUCCUUGGACCACGCAAGAAUUCGUUUCUGGAUCAAAUAUGUUGAUGCUGUAGUGGAGCAGAGUGAGGGGAGAGUAGCGCACCUAACAAAAUGAAGCAGAGCGACGGCAUUGGUUUUGCACGAGUUUAAUUCACUGUCUAGUUACUAGGGACGCUGAAUGGGUUGAGGGUGCGAGAGAAACGUCGCCACGGUAUGGUAUAGGGGUACUUUCUUGUAUGGGUCUUAAAGUUUUUAUGGACCUAAGUUAGGGUUAGUAUAAAUAAUAAUGUUGUAACCCUAUUUUUCAUAUUUGAUAAUAUUAUCUUCGAUUCGCUCUCGUGGACGUGGUGCCGAACCACGUAAAUUCUUGUGCUGAUUUCUCUAUUUCAUCUCUUUAUUAUUGCGUAUAAAAUCCAACAAUUACCAAUAAUCACUAGCCUCCAUAGUCGUUCAUUUAAAACCCAGUCCAAAUAAUUUGCAAGCAUGAGCCCAAUAUUUGCUUUUGACACAAAAAAAUUGAUGACGCAAGAAACUUCCAGAUGAGUAUCUGGACAUAGUUAAUGAGUUCUUCUACCAUUUGCUUUGCUCAAAGUGGCAAAAUUGGAUCAACAUUCUUAAUUACUAAUUACCCGAAGUCCCAAUUCUCAAAAUUUCGACAUAAUAUCUAGUUAAAAUUCAACCAGAAGCCCCACUAUCAAUUUGAUUCCCAAGACCGAUGGCUCAAACAAAGUAGUAUCCAUCCUCCUAUACAUAUGGACAUCAUACACUUGUAGUCUAUGGCUCAAUUCCCUUAAGUUUCAUCCAAGUCAAGCCAUUAAAAUAAGCAAAAAUAUCAGAGAAAGAUAAAGAUCCAAAAAGAACUCCACUUUCAGAAACAUACACCAGUGCAAAUAUUUUUUUUCCAGUAAUUCACAAAUGCAAGUAAAAUUACUACUAAACAAAAAACGGAAAAAAAGUGGCAUCUUUUCAUCCAUAUAUGAAAAUUGAAAACUGACAAUCAACUCCACCAUACCUAAAGAUCUUCCUAAUAUAUACAGGUUUGUGGGUUAAACUAAAUAUAUUUCAAGGGUAGGAAUAAAAGCAGCAGAAGCAACGACAGCAGCCUCUAAGGCAGCUGCAGUGAAAGCGCCGAAAUGGGCUUCGACGGCUGCCGGAAUUUGAGGGUAUCGAUGAAGUAUUGGAUGCAGCUGAUGGAACUUCCAUUGGAGUUUGCCGAUUGUAGAGUGUGUAUGUGUGCGCGUUUUGGGAUCGAAUAUCGAUUGAGCAGUUCAGGAAUUUUUCUGCAGGUGCGAAAAAGAG
rnacentral:lncRNA from 1 species